GUAGGUGGCAAGCGUUGUCCGGAAUUAUUGGGCGUAAAGCGCGCGCAGGUGGUUCUUUAAGUCUGAUGUGAAAGCCCCCGGCUCAACCGGGGAGGGUCAUUGGAAACUGGGGAACUUGAGUGCAGGAGAGGAAAGUGGAAUUCCACGUGUAGCGGUGAAAUGCGUAGAUAUGUGGAGGAACACCAGUGGCGAAGGCGACUUUCUGGCCUGUAACUGACACUGAGGCGCGAAAGCGUGGGGAGCAAACAGGGAUUAGAUACCCUGGUAGUCCACGCCGUAAACGAUGAGUGCUAAGUGUUGGGGGGGUUUCCCGCCCCUCAGUGCUGCGGCUAACGCAUUAAGCACUCCGCCUGGGGGAUACGGUCGCAAGACUG
rnacentral:rRNA from 1 species